CUAGAAAAAUAAAGCUACUAAACAAAACGUCAUUUUAUAUAUAUUACAAAUGAUAAUAGUUCAUUAAAGCCCCUAAUGAAAGUUAAUGUGUGAUUGGGCCGUCAUUAGGCUGAGGAAAGGUAAAGACACAUUACAAUUAAUAUAAAUAAAAGUCUAUGAUUUCUGGAUCACGAUGCACAAGAUAUGCAUUACUUGUUAACCGCUCGGCUACAUUAUUAACUUAAGCGUCGGAGUGCCUUUGACAGAUGUCCGUCCCUACGGCUUGGAGAAGGAGAGAGAGCGAACAAUACAGCUUUAUGAAAACGACUAAGAAGCUUGUCCGGCCUUCAAUGAACUCACUCAGUCUUAGAGACAACAAGUAAGGUCCGUUCGGUCUUCAAGACAACCUAGAGUGUUUAGGUUCAUCCGGUCUUCAAGGUUCGCCUACUCUUCAAGAUCCAUCCAUCUUCAAGGUCAAUGCGGUCUUCGAGACAAUAGGGAAUGUUUUGAACAAGGGACCUCCAAACCCUACCAAAACAAACAGUAUCAAAGCUUGUAAAAUGUACUCAGAAGCAUUUCGAGGCAGGGUAUGAAGCAACUUGUAUAGGCCACCCUUAAUUCAAAAAAAGAAAUAAUUAGGAACAGAAAGUUUAACAUGAAUAAUGCAAGAAGCAACACUGACAAUUGCCUACAUAAACUAAACUGCAGAACGUUUAACAUGAAUAAUGCAUGUUUAAAUUACCAUCAGUGAUCCACAUCUCAGCAAACCAUGACCAUAAACCACACUACAUAGUUGCUUCUGCAUCUAAGUUUGUUGUAUAAAUAUACCAAAAAAUGUACAUCCUUCGGCAGAAUGGUCUAUUUGGUCGUGAAAGUGUGGUGUGAUUCCAAGUUGGCAUGACCUUUUCUAACUCAUUUACAAAACCCUUAGGAACUAUUCAAAUUAUGACAUCAGAUCAGAC
rnacentral:lncRNA from 1 species